rnacentral:rRNA from 1 species
CAAGUCGAACGAAGUAGCGAUACUUAGUGGCAGACGGGUGAGUAACAUGUGGGUAUCUUCCCUUUGGUGAGGAAUAACACGAGGAAACUUGUGCUAAUACCUCAUAAGUCUUUACAGAGAAAGCUUUAUGCGCCGAAGGAUGAGCCUGCACUUGAUUAGUUAGUUGGUGGGGUAAUGGCCUACCAAGACUUUGAUCAAUAGCUGAUCUGAGAGGAUGAUCAGCCACAUUGGGACUGAGACACGGCCCAAACUCCUACGGGAGGCAGCAGUAGGGAAUAUUGCACAAUGGAGGAAACUCUGAUGCAGCGAUGCCGCGUGAGUGAAGAAGGCCUUUGGGUUGUAAAGCUCUUUCGUCGGGGAAGAAAAUGACUGUACCCGAAUAAGAAGGUCCGGCUAACUUCGUGCCAGCAGCCGCGGUAAUACGAAGGGACCUAGCGUAGUUCGGAAUUACUGGGCUUAAAGAGUUCGUAGGUGGUUAAAAAAGUUGGUGGUGAAAUCCCAGAGCUUAACUCUGGAACCGCCAUCAAAACUUUUUAGCUAGAGUAUGAUAGAGGAAAGCAGAAUUUCUAGUGUAGAGGUGAAAUUCGUAGAUAUUAGAAAGAAUACCAAUUGCGAAGGCAGCUUUCUGGAUCAUUACUGACACUGAGGAACGAAAGCAUGGGUAGCGAAGAGGAUUAGAUACCCUCGUAGUCCAUGCCGUAAACGAUGUGUGUUAGACGUUGGAAAUUUAUUUUCAGUGUCGCAGCGAAAGCAUUAAACACACCGCCUGGGGAGUACGACCGCAAGGUUAAAACUCAAAUGAAUUGACGGGGACCCGCACAAGUAGUGGAGCAUGUGGUUUAAUUCGAAGAUACGCGCAGAACCUUACCAACACUUGACAUGUUCGUCGCGACUUUAAGAGAUUAAAGUUUUCGG